UACGUAGGGUGCGAGCGUUGUCCGGAAUUAUUGGGCGUAAAGGGCUCGUAGGCGGUCUGUUGCGUCAGGAGUGAAAACUCGGGGCUUAACCCCGAGCCUGCUUCUGAUACGGGCAGACUAGAGGUAUGCAGGGGAGAACGGAAUUCCUGGUGUAGCGGUGAAAUGCGUAGAUAUCUGGAGGAACACCGGUGGCGAAGGCGGCAUCCUGGACCAAUUCUGACACUGAGGAGCGAAAGCCAGGGGAGCAAACGGG
rnacentral:rRNA from 1 species